CAGGAACUGGAAACAAUGUAAUGUCCCUUAACCAAAGAAUGAAUAAAGAAAAUACAGCAUAUUUACACCAUGGACUAUUACUAAACUGUUAAAAAAUAACAUAAUGAAAUUUGGAGACAGAUGGGUGGACCUAGAAAAAAGCAUCCUGAGUGAGGCAACCCAGACCCUGCCAGAUAAACAUGGACCAUGGGACUUUAAAUCAAAGAUGAGCCUCAAGAUUUGGACAUCUUGUUCUAAAACCUAAUAUGACCGCCAUUCUACUGCCCACACUGUGAUAGAAAGCAAUGGUAAGAAAAGCAGAAAACUCA
rnacentral:lncRNA from 1 species